AUUCCUACGGGAGGCAGCAGUGAGGAAUAUUGGUCAAUGGGCGAGAGCCUGAACCAGCCAAGUCGCGUGAGGGAAGACGGUCCUAUGGAUUGUAAACCUCUUUUGCCGGGGAGCAACGCCGGCUACGUGUAGCCGGACUGAGAGUACCUGAAGAAAAAGCAUCGGCUAACUCCGUGCCAGCAGCCGCGGUAAUACGGAGGAUGCGAGCGUUAUCCGGAUUUAUUGGGUUUAAAGGGUGCGUAGGCGGAAUGCCAAGUCAGCGGUAAAAUCGCGGGGCUCAACCUCGCUCCGCCGGUGAAACUGGG
rnacentral:rRNA from 1 species